CUCAAUUAACCUUUCAAUCUAACUUUCCUUCUUCGCAGAAAAAAAAGUUUCAUCGCUCCAGCAACAAUCAUCUUCGUCGCUCCAAUCACCACCGUCCCGAUCUCCUCCACCACAAGCAGUACCACCACCUCCACCACUAGCUUCAAUCCGAACAUUUUAGCAGUAACUUAUUUUCAUUUGAGAAAGAGUUUUCGUCGGAAUAAUCGAGAGAGGAAUAAACUUUCACUUUAGUCGAAGAAUCAACUGAGAUCGAGAGAAAAUCAUUAUCAUCAACUGUUCAUCAUCAAGAUUCAGGAGAGAUCUCAUCUUAGGAUUUGAUUUCUGUUGCAGGUGUUAGAGAUACUAAUAUUGUUGAUUGGUGAGUAGAAUUAGAGUUACGGCACAGCAAGGAAUUUCAUGAAAAAUUAGGUGUUGGUGGCUGUUGUGGUUGCGUUGUUAAUGUGGUGGAGGAUGAUGUUGUACUGGAGGUGAGGCUGGAGGUUGUCGUGGAGAUGCUGGUGGUGAUGUUUGAAGAUAUUUUUGUGCUGUAGUAAUUGUUGUUGUACAUUGCAAUAUAGGUGAUGGUACAUACGUCUCUAACUUGAUUGCCGAUAAAGGGGAUCCGUAAUUCAUAAACGGUAUCUUUAUGGUUCUAUUUUCGCUGCUUCCAGUGACCGUUGCAUGUGAUGCAAGUAUUUCUUGAUUAAUUUUUCUUGAGAAGCUUAUUAUGUACCCUUUUUGUUGGACAAAACUUCUGCUAGUUGCCUCCAAAUUGGAGACAAUUUGAACAAGUUGCCUUCACAUUUGGAGACAACUUGGGCCAGUUGCCUCCAGAUUUGGAGUCAAAUUGAGCUAGUUGCCUUCGUAUUUGGAGGCAACUAGCCCAUAGUUGCCUCCAUAUUUGGAUACUAUCUGGAGUAGUUGAAGAAGUUUUGUAGGUAACAAGAAAAAAUGGGGAAAAAUAGAAAGAACUGAUACUUCAUUUGGGCCAGUAGAGAAGCAUAGAGGAUGGUUGGCGGUGGUAGUGGUUGAUUUAAUAAGAGAACUGAAACACCUUGGGCUAGUUGCCUCCAUUAUUUUUUGAUGUGUUUUUGGUAUGCAUUUUUCUUCCUUUUUGACGUGCCCUUUUAUUGUAUGUUUAUGUGGUUAGAAAAUUUUCUACUUCCGAAUACAAGGGACUACUAAAGUUGAUGUUUACACUUUAGAGUUUCCUUCAGUAUGAGACGCCACUAGUGUCCUGAAUCCUUGAUUUCGGAGACAACUUGCAUAAGUUGUCUGGAAUUAUUAAAACAACUUGCGCAAGUUGCUUCCAACUUUGAAUACAACUUGAACAACUUGCUUCUGAAAUGGUAUCAAGUCUUCUUUGGUAUUACUUUAUUAAGUCGCCAAGAAAUUUAUCCAGGCUGCAGAUAGUUCGCACUUGAAGGUAUCUCUUCUCUAAGGCUCAUUUGUGCGAUCAAGUGUAGAAGUGAAUCUGUAAACAAGCUUACAUGGAUACAUUACAUCCAUUAGUCAUUGGAAAUAUGUAGUAGGUUCAGCAUUUAUGAGAUUGAGACAUUGUAUUCUUUCUGUAUAUUAAUUGUAUUAGGAGCAUAUGGAUUAUCUGCAUUGUCCUUACUAGUUGAGUUCCCUUCUCCCCUGUAACGGAUUUGUGUUAAGGAUCUUUUUUUCCCUCUAAAUGAAGUGUACCAAGGAUAUAUGGUUUGUGAUGGCAUACCUUCUGUGUAAUAUUUGUGUAAUCUCAAAAAGAUUUUUGAC